UGGGGAAUAUUGGGCAAUGGGGGAAACCCUGACCCAGCGACGCCGCGUGAGGGAAGAAGGUUUUCGGAUUGUAAACCUCUGUUCUUGGUGAAGAGUGGAAGACGGUAACCAAGGAGGAAGCCCCGGCUAACUACGUGCCAGCAGCCGCGGUAAUACGUAGGGGGCGAGCGUUGUCCGGAAUGAUUGGGCGUAAAGGGCGCGUAGGCGGCUGUUUAAGUCUGGAGUGAAAGUCCUAUUUUUAAGGUAGGAAUUGCUUUGGAAACUGAGCAGCUUGAGUGCAGGAGAGGUCAUCGGAAUUCCCGGUGUAGCGGUGAAAUGCGUAGAGAUCGGGAGGAACACCAGUGGCGAAGGCGGGUGACUGGACUGCAACUGACGCUGAGGCGCGAAAGUGUGGGGAGCAAACAGG
rnacentral:rRNA from 1 species